GACGAACGCUGGCGGCGCGCCUAACACAUGCAAGUCGAACGAGCAAAGAGGAGCUUGCUUCUCUGAGCGAGUGGCGAACGGGUGAGUAACGCGUGAGGAACCUGCCUCAAAGAGGGGGACAACAGUUGGAAACGACUGCUAAUACCGCAUAAGCCCACGGGUCGGCAUCGACCAGAGGGAAAAGGAGCAAUCCGCUUUGAGAUGGCCUCGCGUCCGAUUAGCUAGUUGGUGAGGUAAUGGCCCACCAAGGCGACGAUCGGUAGCCGGACUGAGAGGUUGAACGGCCACAUUGGGACUGAGACACGGCCCAGACUCCUACGGGAGGCAGCAGUGGGGAAUAUUGCACAAUGGGGGAAACCCUGAUGCAGCGACGCCGCGUGGAGGAAGAAGGUCUUCGGAUUGUAAAACUCCUGUUGUUGAGGAAGAUAAUGACGGUACUCAACAAGGAAGUGACGGCUAACUACGUG
rnacentral:rRNA from 1 species